UGGGCCUCCUCCCUGCCUGGGCCUCCUCCCUGCCUGGGCCUCCUCCCUGCCUGCCUGCCAGCCUGCCAGCCUGCCUGCAUAGAGAAACUAGAGCCAGGGCUAACCCUAUCAUCCAGUACCCAGGAUGCUACAGAAUGCCCUGGGCCCAGGCAGGGGAAUCAGCCUUCUACCUGGCCCCACAACACCCAGGCAGGGGAAUCAGCCUUCAACCUGGCCCCACAACACCUUCCCUGGAAGGAACUGAGCCUGAGACUACACCCCCUCUUCACCCUGCUCUAUGCACCUAUUAUGAUUAUUUCAAUAAAUGUCAUGAAAAUGA